rnacentral:tRNA from 1 species
UCCGGAAUCGUCUAAUGGUAGGACACAUCCCUCUGGAGGAUGGGAUUGGGGUUCGACUCCCUGUUCCGGAA